rnacentral:rRNA from 1 species
UACGGGGGGGGCAAGCGUUGUUCGGAAUUACUGGGCGUAAAGGGCUCGUAGGCGGCCAACUAAGUCGGAUGUGAAAUCCCCAGGCUCAACCUGGGAACUGCAUCCGAUACUGGAUGGCUUGAAUUCGGGAGAGGGAUGCAGAAUUCCAGGUGUAGCGGUGAAAUGCGUAGAUAUCCGGAGGAACACCGGUGGCGAAGGCGGCUUCCUGGACCGACACUGACGCUGAGGCGCGAAAGCUAGGGGAGCAAACGGG